GGCGACGCUGAUGCCCUGCAGGAAGUGAUGCGGGGAAAAUUCUCAUUAUUAUCCACUCCGUAGAGACGGAGAAAAGGGGAAGGAAGGGGUAAGCGCAGAGAAAACAGGCAUUUAUAGUCAGGUAUCCGCAGUUUACACAUGAGGAUCCGCGAGAGUGGCACACGCGUAACACAGCCGAAGUAAAGGACGUCGGAAACGAGGUGAUUUCGAUGAGGAAGCUGCUCCGUGUUGCCUAACCCCGAGUGAGCCUGAGCCUCGGGAGCGAUGAGUGUCAGUUUCACGGUAUUCACCACGGUCUAGAAGCGACGUGGAUGCCGAACUCGGCCCACUGAAAUCGGCGAUGGUUCCUCCUUUCUUUAUGACCGGUGUGUUCAGGGAAGUCUGUGACCCGAUGGCAUGCUGAGGUGCGUGGCCAGCACAGAGCAGCGGCAUCGCGGCGGAGUCAGCCGGACCUGAGGCGCCGAGGGUGG